rnacentral:tRNA from 1 species
UGUAUAGCUCAGUUGGUAGAGUGCCUGCCUUGCGUGCAUAAGGUCCUGGGUUCAAUCCCCAGCACUACAA